rnacentral:tRNA from 2 species
GCGGAAGUGGCGGAAUUGGUAGACGCACCAGAUUUAGGUUCUGGCGCCGCAAGGUGUGAGAGUUCAAGUCUCUCCUUCCGCG